AGGCGACGAUCCCUAGCUGGUCUGAGAGGAUGACCAGCCACACUGGAACUGAGACACGGUCCAGACUCCUACGGGAGGCAGCAGUGGGGAAUAUUGCACAAUGGGCGCAAGCCUGAUGCAGCCAUGCCGCGUGUAUGAAGAAGGCCUUCGGGUUGUAAAGUACUUUCAGCGGGGAGGAAGGGAGUAAAGUUAAUACCUUUGCUCAUUGACGUUACCCGCAGAAGAAGCACCGGCUAACUCCGUGCCAGCAGCCGCGGUAAUACGGAGGGUGCAAGCGUUAAUCGGAAUUACUGGGCGUAAAGCGCACGCAGGCGGUUUGUUAAGUCAGAUGUGAAAUCCCCGGGCUCAACCUGGGAACUGCAUCUGAUACUGGCAAGCUUGAGUCUCGUAGAGGGGGGUAGAAUUCCAGGUGUAGCGGUGAAAUGCGUAGAGAUCUGGAGGAAUACCGGUGGCGAAGGCGGCCCCCUGACGAAGACUACG
rnacentral:rRNA from 1 species